rnacentral:misc_RNA from 1 species
GUAAUAUUCCGGUGACGAUUGUCGGGGAGACGGGUACGGGUAAGGAGCUAUUUUCCCGCCUGAUACAUCAAUGCAGCAAGCGGGCGAAUAAACCCUUCAUCGCCCUGAACUGCGGCGCUCUACCGCCUACGCUUAUCGAAAGUACGCUUUUCGGCACCGUGCGCGGCGCCUAUACCGGCGCGGAAAAUAGCCAGGGCUAUCUGGAACUGGCAAACGGGGGAACGCUCUUUCUUGAUGAGCUGAACGCCAUGCCGAUAGA